AAAAUCCGUCGACUUUAGAAAU
rnacentral:tRNA from 4 species